GUAAGGUUUUCUUCCACAUUUUUUUCUCAGGUUUUUUUUUUUUUUCCCUUUCACUAAAAGCGCCUGCCUUUAUCAUGAUUUCACCCUGAAACAGGCAAGGGAAUUCAGUAAUGCAACCUGGCAGGGUGUCAAAAAUCUAUUUUCUCAAGAGGAACAGGAAAAAGGUAAUAAUGGUUUGAGGAACUGGAGAACAAAUGCGUCCUAUGUAGACUACAAUUGGUUCAUCUAAGUGAACAAAAACAAUGAGCUCUGAGCCCUGAGGAAACAGCGCAAGGCUCCAGCAGGGACAAAAAUAGCCCGGACGAGAAUCCCUUGGUUUUGAAGCGCGGAGUGGCCGGAGCCGCUGCGGGCGGGCGGGACCGCGGGCUCCCGGCGCCCCCCGCAGGGCUCCAGGGGCUCCACCGCCACCGCACCGGGCCGGAUUUUAGGUCCUACCAGCGGAGGAGCAGGUAGAGUUAUGAUCAAGCAAUAUAUACGUGCAAAAAUUCUGUCAUUCGUACACUAACCAAUCGUAUUCUUACCGGCUCUUUUAGCAGCAUAACUCGGAGGAGAAAUACAACACCACGAGAAAGAAGAAGUCAUGUAUCCUUCCCAAGGAGACUUUGUCGUUCCACGGGCAGAAGGCCUUGAAUGGGAGACGAGGUGCCGGGGGCAGUGCAGAGUGCUUGGAGUGAGUGCUUCACCAUAUGCUGGCCGUGACCCUGCAGGGUAGUCUGCUGCUGCUUUAUUUUUCACAGGAAACAUGAAAACAAAGAUCAAGGCUAUCAACACCUAUAAAGAUUUCAGAAACCUGCAAAGUUUUCUGUAGUGUCUUUGCUGAACCCUGGUGAGAGCAUUUGCAUUGCACUAAUCACAGUUCUGCAAAUAAGUUAAAUAUUUGUUCCGCACAUUUGCGAAACUGUGGCACAAUGCUGCCAGUGUGGCAGCAUAGCUCUGAUAUUCCCUUACAGGAGCAGCAACUCAGUCUAUGACUAAUUAAACAAGAGCUGUAUGUGUGGCUUGGAUUGAGGUAAUACACAGUGUGCAAAUGUUAAUCAUUACUAAGCUAAAGUUAACCAUUACUUCUGUUAGGUGUGUAAUCUUAUAGUACAGACAGAAAUCUCACUUGAAAGUGUUCCUUUGUAAUAUUUUUCUUAGAGGGAUGCAGAUGUAUGAAUUAUUCAUGUUGCAUGUGAAAUUAUGCUGUGACCUAUAAUAAUAGCCAUUGCUAUAUUUUGUUAUGAAACCAGAUCCAUACUAAAUUUAAAAUCCAAGCCUGUCUGCUAAAAUCUACUGCAAGCUUCCAGAUUUUGGCCCAGAAUUCUCACUCUUCAGUGUUUUUAGGCUUUUAUUUUUCCAGGUCAUCUGUUUCAUGGAGAAAGAACAUAUAACCAUCUGG
rnacentral:lncRNA from 1 species